rnacentral:misc_RNA from 1 species
AACGCACAUUGCGCCCCUUGGUAUUCCGAGGGGCAUGCCUGUUCGAGCGUCAUUUCAACCCUCAAGCUCUGCUUGGUAUUGGGCUCGGCCGUAUGGCCGGCCUUAAAAUCAGUGGCGGUGCCGUCUGGCUCCAAGCGUAGUACAUCUCUCGCUCUGGAGGCCCGGUGGUGUCUUGCCAGAUAACCCCCAUUAUCUUUCUAUGGUUGACCUCGGAUCAGGUAGGGAUACCCGCUGAACUUAA